rnacentral:rRNA from 1 species
UACGUAGGGUGCAAGCGUUGUCCGGAAUUAUUGGGCGUAAAGAGCUCGUAGGCGGUUUGUCGCGUCGGCUGUGAAAACUCGGGGCUCAACCCCGAGCCUGCAGUCGAUACGGGCAGACUAGAGUGAUGUAGGGGAGACUGGAAUUCCUGGUGUAGCGGUGAAAUGCGCAGAUAUCAGGAGGAACACCGAUGGCGAAGGCAGGUCUCUGGGCAUUAACUGACGCUGAGGAGCGAAAGCAUGGGGAGCGAACAGG